GGGGACAUUGCUCACAUUUGGAGGCUCCCUAAUUCCUCAAGUCAAUGGAGUUAAGCAGCACUGGAACUGAGAGCCACAACAAAGCUGGUGGCAUCAGCUCUCCCCGGCUGUGGCUGGGGAGCUGCUUAUCGUAAUCAGUCAGGACCACCAGGAUGAGAUGGAAUCAGGGGUUACUGAUUGCAAGUUUCUGUUUUCAGGGAUAAAAACAGCUCACAGGACAACUGGAGGGAAUUGCUGCCUCCAGUAGACACAGACCUCCCUCCUAACUCCACGCAGCAGCCCCCUCUGCCACCUGUCCCCAGAGCCCAGGCCUAUGGUUGGACCGGAUUCGUCACCUGGCUCUACAGGAUACACACACAAAUGGCAGUAAAUGGACCACAUGAAUGGACUGCAGCGAAGAGACCUGAGACAAUUCAUGCCAGUGCAGACUGAGAUGUGCAAGGCAGAAGCAAUUUAGAGAGACUGAAAGAGAAAGGAAGGCCCAGUUAAAAUCCAAAUGGAGAGAAGCACAAUGUAAAAGCAAAUUGGAAAAAGCUGAAGCAACAGAGGGACCCUCAGGAAGAUGGUGAGUGUGAGAAAAAAGCACAGGAGAAAUGUCCUCUGCAACCCAAACCCGCCUCAUCAAAUAGCUCUGGACCCAGUUUUUAUCUUUACAAGUGAUAGCUGG
rnacentral:lncRNA from 1 species